UCACUCAUUUCUUUUUUCCUUUAUUUUCUUUCCAGAAGUUUGCGAAUCUAACUAUCUUGAAUCUUGACAAGUGCAAUUUUUUAACUAAGAUAUGUGAUGCAUAUGUUUUCUUAAAUAAUUUGGAUAAGGUUUCUCAUAUAGCUUAUAUAUUCCAUGAUUUUUUUCAUGAAAUUUAGAUAGUUUUCACGUAUAGUUCUCAAAUAACUUUUACAGUAAUGAUGUUAACUAAAAAAUUUCUCACUUGCUCAAGCUAGGACUUGCUAAAGGUUAUUUGGCUCGAUCUAACUUUUAUGUUGCUUUUUGUGACGAUGAGCAAGACCCAACUCAACAGACUUCUACUAAUAACUUAAUGGUUCAACAACUUGAUGGAACUAUUAAUGAACGCGGUUAGUGCAAGCAAAAGCUUGGAGCAAAUGCUAUAUUGGCAAUGUCUCCUGCAGUCUGUAAAGUUGGUGUUGACGUCUUAAAAGUUCCUCUUUACAAGGUAUUUAUCCAUGAGUUGUGGUACUUGAUUAUCUCAAAUGAAACUUGUUCAUUGAAUCCAUUUUGUGUAAUACAAGUUGUCUUGAAAAUUAAUAUAAAUAUGUGAUGUCUAAAAAAAUGAAAAUACCUGCUGCUUUGAUGGCUUGCUUAUAAUCUAAAUUUUAUGAAUUUUCGUAUUCAAGGUCAACAUGAUAUAGGUGUUAUCAUACUGUCAUAUUGCUUACAAUUAUUCUUACAAUGGGUUGUUAGAUCUGAUGGUGCAAGUUUGCUAGUUCUUGCGACCCCCUCACAACAAACAAACACACCAUAAUUGUGUGCAUUUUGAAUUAAGGUUUCCUGUUGUUUUCUAUAUCUAACUUCACUCUAUCUCUAGUUUGUUAUCUAUUGGUUUCUUCUUGUGGUCUCUUCAGCUUUGUUUCCAUUUAAAAAGGAAGAGUGGCACUUAUAUUUUGCUUUGUUUAUGUUCCGUUUCAAACUCAAAGACUUUUGUUGGAGGAUGUGAAAACUAGUAAAUCAAAUGAGAUUGUCCUUCUUAGUUCUUAA